GGUAACUCCAGAUAAUACUUAAGGUGCCCAAAGAUAGAAGUAAUGUCUUAGUGCCUAAGUCUUUGAGUUGAUUUUUGUGCAGGAUGAGAGAUAGGGGUUGAAAUUUUCUACAAAUAGCUUUCCAAUUUUCCCAGCACCAUUAGUUGAAGAAGCUAUCUUUUCUCCAAUGUACGUUUUUGGCACCUUUGUCUAGUAUCAGAUAACUAUAUUUAUGUGGGCUUGUCUAUGCAUAUUCUAUCUGUAGCAUUGGUCUACCAGUCUGUUUUGGUGCCAAUACCAUGCUGGUUUUGUACUGUGGCUCUGUAGUAUAAUUUAAGGCCUGGUAUUGUGAUGCUCCCUGCUUCAUUUUUCUUGCUAAGGAUUUCUUUGGCUAUUCUUAUCUCUUAUUUUUCCAAACAAUUUCAUGAUUGCUUUUUCUGUUUCUAUGAAGAAUGUCAUUGGGAUUUUAAUAGGAAUUGCAUUAAAUCUGUAUAAAGCUCUGGGUAGGGACUUCUUCAAUUUCUUUCUUUAGUAUUCUGUAGUUUUCUUUGUAGAGGUCUUUCACUUCUUUUGUUAGAUUGAUUCCCAAAUAUUUGUUUUGAGUCUAUUGCAAAUAGGGUAGUUUUCUUAAUUUCCCCUUCAGUGAAUUCAUCACCAAUAUAUAGGAACACAUUUGAUUUGUGGGUAUUAAUUUUAUGUCCUCCUACUUUGGUGAAUUAACUUAUUAGUUCUAGAAUGUUUCUGGUGGAAUUUUUUGAUGUUCUAAAUAUAGAAUCACGUCAUUACCAAAUAGUGACAGUUUGAAUUAUUCUUUUCCUAUUUGUAUCCCUUUAAUUUCUUUAUUCUGCCUAAUUGCUCUGGCUAGAAUUUCAAGGACAAGGUUGAAUAAAAAUGGUGAAAGAGAACAUUCUUGUCUUUUUCCAAUUCUUAGAGGGAAUGCCUUCAAUUUUUCCUCCAUUUAGAAUGAUGUUGGCCUUGGGUUUAGCAUAGAUAGCUUUUACAAUGUUGAGGUAUGUUCCUACUAUCCCUAGUUUUUCUAGUGUUUUGAACUUGAAGGAGUGCUAUAUUUUGUCAAAUGCUUUCUCUGCAUCUAUUGAGAUGAUCACAUGAUUGUUUUCUUUAAGUCUAUUGAGAUGAUGAAUUACAUUUAUUGAGUUCCAUAUGUUAAAUCAACUUUGCGUCCCUGGGAUGAACCCCAGUUUAUUGUGGUGUACUAUCUUUUUUUCUGUUUUUGUAUGUGAUUUGCCACAAUUUUACUGUGAAUUUUUGCAUCUGUGUUUAUCAGGGAUAUUGGUUUGAAGUUUUCUUUCCCUGAUGUGUCUUUGUUUGGUUUUGGUAUCAGAGUAAUACUAACUUCAUAGAAUGAGUUUGGAAAGGUUCCCUCCUUUUCUAUUUCAUGGUGUAUUUUGAGAAGUAUUGGUGUUUAUUCUGCUUUGAAGGUCUUGUAAAACUCUGCUGAGAUUCUGUUUGGUCCUGGGUUUUUCUUAAUUGUUAGGCUUUUGAUGGUGUCUUCUAUUUCAUUGCUUGAGAUUGAUCUGUUCAAAUUGUGUGUGUCCUUCUGGUUCAGAUUGGGUAGGUCAUAUGUCUCUAAAAACCUGUUGAUGUCUUCAAGACUUUCUAUUUUAUUGGAGUAUAAAUUUUCAGAAUAGUUUCUAUAUCUUCUGUAUUUAAGUAGUAUCUAUCAUGAUAUUUCCUUUUUCAUCACAAAUUUUAGUAUUUUGAAUUUUGUCUUUCUCUUUGUUAGCAUGGCUAAGAGUUUAUCAAUUUUAUUUAUUUUUUCAAAGAACCAACUUUUUGUUUUGUCAAUUUUUUGAAUUGUUUCUUUUGUUUCAAUUUCAAUAAUUUCAGCUCUGAUUUUAAUUAUUUCCUGUCUACUACUGCUUUUGGUGUUGAUUUGUUCUUUUUCUAGGGCUUUGAGAUGUAAUGUUAGUUCUUUUAUUUGUUAACUUUCUAUUCCUUUAAUGAAUGAGCUCAAUGCAAUGAACUUUCCUCUUAGCACUGCCUUCAUGGUAUCCCAGAGAUGUUGAUAUGUUGUAUCACUAUUCUCAUUUACCUUAAAGUAUUUUUCCCUUAUUUUAUUAUAUCCAACCUCCUGUGUCCCCAGUCUGCUUUUAAUGUCCAGUUUUAGGUUCCAAUAAAGUACCCCCCACCCUUUUAUGUUCACCUGCCUUGUGGAGAAGCUGCCUAUCUGCUUUCUUGGUUUCAUGCCAUGGAGCAGACAGGAUCGUGACCUCCUAUAUUCCACCAUUUUGGAUCUCUCCUGUGUUUGGUUUUUGACAGUUUAAUUAGAAUGUGUCUUAGUGUGUAUAUCUGUUUUAACUAGUGUAUUUGUUACUGUGACCAAAAGACCUGACAAGAACAUCAUACAGGUUCAUGGUAUCAGAGGUUCAGUCUAUAGAUGGCAGACUUCAAAGCUCUGAGCCCAAGAUGAGGCAGGACAUCAUGAUGGAAGGGCAUGGUGGAGGAAAGCAGCUCAGGACAUAGCAGCAGGAAGCAAAGAAUGCUCCACUUACUGGAGACAAAAUAUAAAUCACAAAGUCUUUUGAAUAAAAUAUAGAGAAAGCCUUCAAGACUUUAGGUUAAGCAAAGAGUUCUUGAGCAUGACAUCAAAAUCAUGAUUCAGCAAAUUUAAAUAUUGAUAAACUGAAACUAAAUCAAAAUGGAACAACUUGAGUCAUGUUAGAAAACAUGUGCCCCCAGUGACACUCCUCCCCCAGCAACACCCCACCUUGCUUAUAGUCAUCACCCAGUCAAUUCAUAUCAAUGGAUUAAUCUACUGAUUAGAUUACAAUACUCACAAUCCAAUCACUUCACCUCUGAACAUUCCUGUAUUGUCUCACAUAUGAGCUUUUGGGGACACCUCAUAUCUAAACCAUAAUGAUCUCUUGUUUAUACUACUUGGAGUUCAUUACACUUCUUUAAUAUGUGAAUUUCUAUAUUUGUCCAACUUGGGAAGUUUUCGGGAACUAUUUCCUCUAAUAUUAUUUCUUCCUCUUUUGCUCUUUUCUCCCCUGGGAUUCCCAGUAUGCAUAAGUUGGUAUGCUUGAUGCUGUCUCACAGGUGUUUUAGACUUUGUUCACUUAUUUUUACUUUUGCUUCUCAUAGUGGACAGUUCUAGUUGAACUAUAUUCAAGUUCACUGAUUGUUUCUUCUAUCUGUGCACAUCUCUUGUUGAGCUUCUCUAGAGAUUUUUUUCACUUUAAUCAUGUAUAUUUCAGUUUCACAAUUUAUACUUAGUUUCUUUUCACAAUUUCUCUUUACUGAAUUUCUCUAUGUGUUGAGAAACCAUUCUCCUGAUAUUUCUGUAAUUAUUUGUCCAUAGUUUUUCUUAGCUCUUAAAGCACAUUUCAGACAGUUGAUUUAAAGUCUUUAUUUCAUAAGUCCAUGAUCUGUUUCCUCAUGAUGGUUUCUCUUAAUUUCUAUGAAUCAGCUAUGCUUUCUUAUUUCUUUUCAUGCUGCAUAAUUGUUGUUGGAAACAGGACAUUAUAAAUAUUAUGAUGUAAUAACUCUGGAAUUAGAUUUUCCCCUGCCCUAAAUUUCUCAUUUCACCCCACCCCCACAAAGGCAUGCCCCAGGGUGUUUUAGUUGUUCAUUUUAUGACCUUGCUAAACUAUUUUUUUGUGAAGAUUAUAUUCUUUGUCAUAUGUAGUCUCCCAAGUCUCUCCUUUUCUCUAGCUUGGUGAUUAGCUAGUGGUUUGACAGAGAUUUCCUUAAAUAUUUGGAGCAAAUAAAAUAAAAUACUAUCAAAGUCUUUGCAGAUUAGUUGUGAAGUGGCACUCCUUCAGUCCUUGGCCAAGUGAUUUAAAACUUUGCCUUAACCUUCAUUUCUUGUUUACUCUAAGCCUAGUUGUCCAGAGAUGAGAGCUUUAGGUAUGCUUUAGUAUUUUCUGAGCAUGCCUCUGGCUCAGAGUGUGCAUCUUUUUUUUUUUAAUUUCUGUGGAUAUAUGAAAACUAUUUAAUUCCUCUAUUCCUCAAAGUAUCUCUUUCUCUGGCUUUUCCUUCCUGUAUGUCUAUUAUUUGGCUAUUUUAUUGUGCCCCAGGUGUUAGCAACAUCCUCAUUUUCAUUUCAUUGUUUUAGAAGAAGUUUCUUUGUAAUUACUUCUCCAAUCUGAGAGUUCCAAGUUAGGCAAAGUCAAGACAAGCACUUUUCAUCAGUAUGUUUGAGUGCUCUUAACCAGGUAUAAACAGACAAAUACAAUUCCUUAAGAACAAGUUUACAUUCCUUUGUUUGCAACAAAGAACCUACACCUGGAACACAGGCUACUACUGUCUUCGGAGGUUGCUACCAUGCUCAAGUCAGGUACUAGAGAAAGGUAAGUUAAAACGUUGCUAGUGUUUCCUACUGCAUUUUAGUAGCCUUUCUCCUGGUUAAUCUGUGGUUUGUUUAUUGUAUACCUUUGACGAUCUUCCAGAGUUCUGGUAAAAUGUUUGCUAUUUUUUUUUUCAGCAUUUUUCUGGAGCAAAGGGCCCUUGAAGUUUCCCACUAUGUCUUUUUGUUUUCUAAUAUGACUCAAGUUGUUUCAUUUUGAUUUAGUUUCAGUUUAUCAAUAUUUAAACUUUGCUGAAUCAUGAUUUUGAUGUCAUGCUCAAGAACUCUUUGCUUAACCUAAAGUCUUGAAGGCUUUCUCUAUAUUUUAUUCAAAAGGCUUUAUAAUUUUUCAUUUUAUAUUUAGAUUUAUGACCCAUUUCGAUUUAGUUUUUUAUUGGCCAUGAGAACUAAUUUGAAGCUUAUAUGUUUGUAUCUAGGUGUAUAAUUGUGAAAACACCAUUUAAUAAAAAGACUGUCUUUUCUCUGUUUUCUUUUAUGCCAUUUUCAUAAAUCAAUUGAACAUAAUGUAUGGGUUUCUUUCUGCAUUAUGUAGUCUACUUUGUUGAUAUAUGUGUCUGUCCCUUUGACAAUACCACAUGGUUUUGAUUACUGUAAUCUUGGAAUAGGUUUUAAACUCAGUGUAAUUCCUCCAAGUUCAUUUUUUCUGCUUCAUAAGUGUUUUAGCUAUUUGCUUUUCCAUAUGCAUUUCUGAGUCAGUUUCUUGAUAUCUACAAAGAAUUCUACUGGUGUUUUCAUUGCAGUUGUAUUCAAUCUAUAGAAAAAAUUGUUCUAAUAAAUUCAAAACAGCAUGUAUUUGAAUUUAUUUUAGAUUGUCAUUAUUUCAUCAAUAUAUGUAGUUUUCAUAUAUCUAAAAAUAAUUUUUAAAAGAAUAAAUAAAUCUGUAGUUUUCAGAUCCUGUAUGUACUUUGUUAAAUUUAUAUCUGUUUCAUUUUUUAGGAGCUAUUGUAAAUUAUAUUUUUUAAAAUCUCUUUUUCCUAUUGUUACAUUUCUAGGGUAUAGAAAUACAAUCCUGAAAUCUUCCUAAAUAUGUUUAUUAGUUCUAGGAGUUCUUUUGUAUAUUCCCUGAGAUUUCCUUUGUAGAUAAUUAUGCUGUCUGCAGAUAGAGAAAGUUUUAUUUCUUCCUUUCUAAUCUGCAUGUCUUUUAUUUCUUGUUUUGUCCCAUGAUUCUGACUGGAGUUUCUAGUACAACGUUGAAGAGAAAUGGUGAGAGUGGAUAUUCUUCUCUGUUCCCAAUCAUGGAAAGAAGGUAUUCAUUCAGUUUUUCACCAUGACACA
rnacentral:lncRNA from 1 species